rnacentral:rRNA from 1 species
GGGUAAUCUGCCCUCCACUCUGGGAUAGCCCUCCGAAAGGGGGAUUAAUACCGGAUAUGACCUGCGCCUGCAUGGGUGUGGGUGGAAAGUUUUUUCGGUGGGGGAUGUGCUCGCGGCCUAUCAGCUUGUUGGUGGGGUAAUGGCCUACCAAGGCUUUGACGGGUAGCCGGCCUGAGAGGGUGACCGGCCACACUGGGACUGAGACACGGCCCAGACUCCUACGGGAGGCAGCAGUGGGGAAUAUUGGACAAUGGGCGGAAGCCUGAUCCAGCAACGCCGCGUGAGGGAUGACGGCCUUCGGGUUGUAAACCUCUUUCGCCGAGGACGAAGCGCCCUGUCGGGUGGUGACGGUACUCGGAUAAGAAGGACCGGCCAACUACGUGCCAGCAGCCGCGGUAAUACGUAGGGUCCGAGCGUUGUCCGGAAUUAUUGGGCGUAAAGGGCUCGUAGGCGGUUUGUCGCGUCGGGAGUGAAAUCAUCGGGCUCAACUCGGUGCUUGCUUUCGAUACGGGCAGACUAGAGGUAUUCAGGGGAGAACGGAAUUCCUGGU